rnacentral:misc_RNA from 1 species
AGUUUUAUUUCUCAGAAAUGCUGAUAUUGAAAAUGAAAUCUAUUCAUUAAGUUUUACAGCCCAACAUAAUUUGUAGCUAUAUGCACUUAUAGUCGUAUUUGUGCAUUCUUAAAUGUUAUAUAGUUUACAUGCUAUUGGGAAAUAUGAAGUAAUUUUCAUGGGAAUUUAGUUUAAUGAAUUUGGGGUUGCACUGGUGUUUUGGUUAUGAUUUUGGCUUACUUACCUUUGAUGCCUUUCAUCAUAUAGUCCAUUCUAUAAUGUAAAGAAUAUAACAAUCAAAGAACAAAAACAUGGACAAUAAAAAGCACCAACAAAUUAGGUUCAAAGGAGGCACAAAUUGACUAACCAAAUUGAACUAUUUUGAUUUGAUUUAGUUUAUCUAUUACUUCAGUUCAAUUCAAUUUAUAGAAUUUUUGAUUUUUCUAUUAUUUCAAUUUGAUUUGGUUCUGAACCAAAUCAACCCAUUGCACACCCCUAUAAUUCUGGGUGCAUUUAAGGAGGAAAAGGGCUUUAGAAUCUCUUUAUUUUAAUUGCAGAUAUGGGAUAAAAGCCAGUUUGCGUGGAGUCAUACAAAUCUCUCUUUCUGUUUUUGCUAUAUUCUCUUUUGGUUCUUCUCU